UGGGGAAUAUUGGACAUUGGGCGAAAGCCUGAUCCAGCCAUGCCGCGUGUGUGAAGAAGGUCUUCGGAUUGUAAAGCACUUUAAGUUGGGAGGAAGGGCAGUAAGCGAAUACCUUGCUGUUUUGACGUUACCGACAGAAUAAGCACCGGCUAACUCUGUGCCAGCAGCCGCGGUAAUACAGAGGGUGCAAGCGUUAAUCGGAAUUACUGAGCGUAAAGCGCGCGUAGGUGGUUCGUUAAGUUGAAUGUGAAAGCACCGGGCUCAACCUGGGAACUGCAUCCAAAACUGGCGAGCUAGAGUAGGGAAGAGGGUGGUGGAAGUUCCUGUGUAGCGGUGAAAUGCGUGGAUAUAGGAAGGAACAACAGUGGCGAAGGCGACCACCUGGGCUCAUACUGACACUGAGGUGCGAAAGAGUGGGGAGCAAACAGG
rnacentral:rRNA from 1 species